rnacentral:rRNA from 1 species
GAUGAACGCUGGCGGCGUGCCUAAUACAUGCAAGUCGAGCGAACCAAAGAGAGCUUGCUCUCUGAGGUUAGCGGCGGACGGGUGAGUAACACGUGGGUAACCUGCCUGUAAGACGGGGAUAACUUCGGGAAACCGAAGCUAAUACCGGAUGAUAAAGAGAAACGCCUGUUUCUCUUUUGAAAGUCGGCCUUGUGCUGACGCUUACAGAUGGGCCCGCGGCGCAUUAGCUAGUUGGUGAGGUAACGGCUCACCAAGGCGACGAUGCGUAGCCGACCGGAGAGGGUGAUCGGCCACACUGGGACUGAGACACGGCCCAGACUCCUACGGGAGGCAGCAGUAGGGAAUCUUCGGCAAUGGACGAAAGUCUGACCGAGCAACGCCGCGUGAGCGAUGAAGGCCUUCGGGUCGUAAAGCUCUGUUGUCAGAGAAGAACAAGUACCGGAGUAACUGCCGGUACCUUGACGGUACCUGACCAGAAAGCCACGGCCAACUACGUGCCAGCAGCCGCGGUAAAAC